UAGGGCGGGACCUUUCGCGCCUCCGCCCCGGGGUUGGCGGACUGGAGAAGGAGCGAAGAUGGCGGAGUGAGGCGUGCCCCGGGCAGCCGGCCUCCGGGCCCCGGGCGGGCCUCGCUCGAGAGGCGAGGUGCUUCUGCUGGACUUAGUGAGGAACACACAGGAUGAAUAUUUUCAUGGCCUUAGGUGCUUUUAUAUUCAGCUCAGAAUUCAGAACUCAGGACUUGGCAAGACUUUCUAUGUUGUCUUCUCAGUGGGGCAUCCUGGUUCUUUCAUACAGCCACUUUCCUUGGUGAAAUUCAGAUGGCUUUCUACAGGGGCCUCCAUGGUUUGGAAUGGAGAGGCUGCUUUCCUUUAUUCCACCUCAGACUCGGCACAGAGAAGCCGGAGAAUGCAGCUGUCUGCUGACUUCAGGAAGAAAAAACCAACUGGCAAGGGUCUUCUGCUGCAGUUUGCUUCAUUAGAAAGACACUGUUUGCAACUGGAAGGAAGAUGUUUAAUUUGAAACAGGUGCUUAGAUUGUGCAUUGUGAAUUCUUCCUUUAAAAGCUCCAAACAACAAACUAUACAAAUACCAUGUGUGGAUGACUUCAGGUUUUUGUUUUGUUUUUUAAUUCUGCCAGUUUUAACACUAUUAUAAGCACACUUGAGACUGCAGUGGUAAAUUCCAAAUAUCCAUUAUAAUUUGAGGUGAAAGAAACGUUAUCUAAAUCCUGGCUCACCAUCUGACAGAUUCCUGGGCAAAAACAAAUCACCGGUAUGACAAAAGCAAAAGACAAGAAAGAUAUCAGGGUUGAUUUCACAUGGAAGUGAAGCCAUUGCAGUUUGUGUGCAGAGUCACAUUUUUAUAUGUAUAAUUCCAUGUUUUUGUUUUUAAAUACGAUUUUCCUCUUGGAGAUGAAAGCUAUUGUUUCAUGGGAGGGCUUUGGACAGUUUGAUGGUCUUGAGUGUUUGAGUUUUGUCUCUUUUGCUUUGCUUUUUCAUCCUCCUCAGGAAGGACCAGCUAGCCUGCAGCUAGUUCAAAGUGGGAAGAGAACAGGCUGGGCUGAUGCUUGCCUCAAACUGCCAGUGAAGAUCAGAAGUUCAGGUUCAGCUUGAGCCACAUGGUAAAGCUAUCUCAAAAACAGCAGAAAAAUGAAAACAAAACAAACAAACAAACAAACAAAAAAAUGAACCCAGUAACACCACUCUUGUUUUUCAAGAUUUUUUUUUUUUUUUUUUUUUUUUGUGGAAUCGAAUGUAGCACAUGAGACUUUGGUUUUCUGUGCAGCUGUGGCUGGAAAGAAAGUAGAAUAUGUGUUAUGUGAUGGACCCUAUAUUGUAACUUGCCUUCAACAACUUUGGACCUAGAGGAGUAAAGGAAAAAAAUAACUCCGCAUAUAAAUCCUUCUAAGAAAAAGAAGCGGUGAUGUCUUAUGUAGCAUCAUCUGACUUUUCAGCAUUUUUACAUUAUGUACUUGCAUUUUUUAUAAAAGCAUAAAUAACUUCCUUUAUCCCAAGAUGGGUACUUGGACAUUUAUUUUUCUAGGUGAUAAUGUAAUGUAAGGCUGAAAUUCUGGGACUCAGGUAAAUUUUCCCAGUUUGAAUUGAACUUCCUUACCAGAGAAUGGACCUCAGAAGCAAUGUUCCUAGUGCUGUGGUCAAUCAACUCUAUCUACUCUUGGAAGAAAUUCAGGAUCUGAACAAAACUUCAAAUAAGAAAAGCAGGUCUAGUAAGAAGUGUGGAUCCUAUUGCCAGUCGCUGUAGAUUUAAAUGAAAUUCAGGGUGGGGGUAGGGAGACCUCAAAACUAGUUCCAAGAAAUAAUGCAUGUUUGUUUUUUUCCUUUAAUUAACAGUUAUAAGGAACCAUUGUGAAAACCUCUCUUUGCUUCCAAAUCAAGAGAAGUCUAUUUUAUGUGAUGCCAGGCUUUUACAAGGGAGGGAACUGUUGAAAUGGUUGCAAUGGUUGCCAGUAGAGAAGGAACAGGUGCUCUUGGAGCUGAUUUCUGGAACCAUUUCCCAGUGCUGUGAAUUUGAGUCAUAGAAAGGAUCAAAAUUGGGAAAUUUGAAUAUUCUAAUAAUUUAGUCAGAUUGGGCAACAAAUUUGAAUUUAUACUGAAAGUUUUUUUUUCUUAAAUACUUAUUAUAAAAAAACCUUUUAAUGAGAGCAAAUAAUGAUACAACACUAGAGAAAUAAGGCUUAAAUUUAACCUAAAUUGCUGGACUUGUUACCCCACACCUGUAACCACUGCAUUUUGGAGUCUGAGGCAGGAGUAUUGGCCACAAGAUCAAAGCCAGCCUGAUUGACAGACCUGUCUCAAAAUGCAACAAAAAUAUAACCCAAAUUUCCUCUUUAAGUCCCCCAGCCACUUAUAUUUUCAUUUAGAAGACAAUGGAAGCCAGCUGGUGACAGUUCCUGCACCUUACCUUGGGCAACUUUAUGGGCUAAGGCCCUGUGGCAGGGCUGUCACCACCAAGGAGGUGUCACCUUUUGCUCCAAAUGCUUCACAUUUGUAGCUUAAACCUUCAAGUUUAAGUUGAGUUCCCUUUGUCAAAGAUGCUCCUGUGCCCUGCAUUGUUAGCACCAGAUGGCAUUUCAUAGCCUGGGUUGUUCCAGCUGUAGUUGCCUGGUGUGCAGUACAUUUUCAUUUUAUAGUCUUGCUUGGGUUUUCUUAAUAGCAGCAAAAACUACCAUUUUAGGGCUGUGCUUCCACAUGUAGCCGCGCCUCCUCCCUUCUCCAUGGAAGCUGGCAGUUUUUCCUUUGAAGUUACUAAACAAAAACGGGAUAUGUGCAAUAUAAAUAUAUAUAUAUAUAUGUAUAUUUUAAUACUUGUGGACAAGUGUUACAAGUUGUUUAAGAACAACAAAAUCACCAAUGUCUUCCAUUUUGAGAUGUGUAUAGUUUUGUAAGCAGUAGUACUUGGUAGCAUAUUGUAGUGCCAUGUUAGGGGUUAGUGCAUGAAUUUAGCAUAAUUUUAAACUUCAGGAUGAAAUAGUGAUAAUAACUAGUAGUGUAAAAAGAGUGGAAAAUUCUAGACCUUUACUUUUUGUGUAUGAAUCUGUGAUAUCCUCCCUGGGGAUAGGACAUAAAGGCCAAAACAACUAAUGUCUGAACAGAAAUGUGGGUUCACAUUGAGAAACAUUGUGCUUGGGGAAAUGUUAGCCUUUCACAAGGUAGCUACACAUAGCUGCCUUUGUAGCUUUUCAGCCCUCAGAGCAAGGCCUCAUUUCAUGCUUAUGUCUUGCUCUCUUAGUUUGAAGCUAGCUUGCUCAUAUUUGUAUUGUAUGUCUUGGGUUCAUUUUCCCUAUUUUGUGUCCAGAGAAUUAUUUUCUAUUUUGCAUGUCUGAGAUGCUAUGCUAAUUGCUUUAGCACAUUUAAUCUCUGGCCAUUUUCUUUCCUGUUUGCAUCACAUGCGCUAAUUGCAGAACCUUGUGGGCAGUCUGGAGUCUCUUGUAUUCUAGGCUUUUUUUCCUACUUUCCUUAUGGAAAUAAAGUAGUUGCUUUGUUUUGAAAAAAGAAAGUUUUCUGUAAAAUGAAAUUCCUACCUCUAAAAGUUGCCUAGGAAACUUGGACGGAACAGUUUUCUGGAGUGUUGUGGGGUCUUGGGUUUUUGUUUGUUUUGUUUUAAUUUUAGAAUUAGAGUCCUGCCAGGUGUGGUUGUCCAUGCCUGUAAACCCAGAAUUUGAAAAGCUGAGGCAGGAGGAUCAGGAGUUCAAGGUUAUCCUUUGUUACAUAGUGAGUUGGAGGUCAAUCUGAGCUACAUGGGAUCCUGUCUCAGAAAACCAAAAGAAAAGAGAGUCUAGGACCUACGAAUUACAUUAGUGUGAUAGAAAAUCUAAAAUUGUUUUUAAUGUGACUUUUUCCCACACAAACUAGGUAUGAGUAGUAUUAGCUAUCCAGGGACCCAGGAAUAGAUCCCUGUAGAAUAUCACCUGGGUGAAACUGCUUCUGAAAAGCAUUUAAAUUUAAGAAACAAAGGGAGAAAAACUUGAAAAAGUAAUGCAUAUAAAGUAGCACAGUAUAUAGGAAAGGAUAUUUCCUAUUGCAAAAAAAAAGCCAUAAAUGAACUAAAAAUGUUAAAGAGGUGGAAUUUAGUAGCAAUAACAGUUUUGCAUGUAUAGCAAAUAGUGUUCACAAAGCUGUAUGGUUGAGUGAUUACUAUUUGAAUUUGUGGGCUUCUGCAGUCUUAUAGAGUCCACAAAAGGAAAAUACAUCAUAGGUUAAAAAGCAUUUAAACUAUGAAUGUAUAUGAAUGUGCCGUGUGAAAAACAACAACUUUCAUAUAUGUGUUAAAGACUAUUUUGUUUCCCCAGAGUUUACAGCAGUUAAAAUCUUUCUAGUGCUUAACCUGGAAACAAAUGUACUUCUAUAUUCCCAGUGAAGCCAACAAGUAGGGGUCUUGCUUAAAUUGUUCUUAUUAUUAGUCAUUUAUUGUGUAGAAUGAGGUAUACUCUGUAACCUUUGUUCAUUGGCUUCCUGGCUACUUUUUCAAAAAGAAAAAUUUGUUUUUGUGUGUGAUUGGUGUGUCUGGAGGGUGGGGAAGGUAGCCUCAAGAACUUGCUGGCUUUUCCUUGUACUUAGAUCAAGGAAGUUAGGGAUGAAAGAUAAACAAAAUGACUGGGCAGUAUGGAGCCUGGGGGUUAUGUAUGUGUCUGAUAUAUGUAUGUGAUGAAGCUUAUGGCCUGUGUGUGACUGCAUAUUUUUUUAACAAGGAGAACGCAGCAAACUCAUCCCUUUCUUGAUCUGAGGAGUCACGCAGCUCACAUCAGAAUCUAAGAGUGGAACUGGGGUGACUCCUCGAUUCCUUUACCUCAUGUCCAUUGUGGCCACUUGAACAUCUGAAAAGAUCUGGGUCUGUGUUCCUUUGUUUUCCCAGGGGAAAAAUAAUUAAGAGUAGUUUUGUAGAUCUCAGACUCUAAUGAGUUAUUUUAUUACAAGCCUAAGAGUAGGGAAAAGGCUAUACUGAGUGUAGUUUCUCUUUAAAUGUCCUGUGAUGUCCAUGUUAGGUUUUGAGUCAACCAAGCAAUAUUCAGACAUCUGUAUGAUCAUGGACACAUGGCUAAUUCAGUUACAUCAGAGAUUACCCUUAACAGCCAUGUUUAUAGUUCUAAGUGUAAAACUAUGCUACAAGAUUUUGUGGUCUCAAAGUAUGUGGUUAAUUAGUAUUCAAUCUUCCUGUAGUCUCUUGUUUACUCUUUGUGUACCUGUGAUAUGCAAAAUAUGAAGAGGAACCCCCCCCACCUUCAGGAGUUUACAUUCUCAUGGUGCUGUAGGUGCAAGCAAAUUGUCUCUAGUUUAUUUAGAACAUUGCUUGGCUAUUAAUUAUACCAUUUUGGAAAAGCCCCUUGGCCGAGAGUUUUAAAAUGCAGAGGGCUAUGCUAAAUUUCAGGGCAUUACUGCUUGAGUUUACAUUGUUGUAGCUCUGCUCCUUAACUUUCCCCAGGGAGCUGUUCAUUAAUGUGAAUCAGAAAAGAACCCAUUCUGCCUAAGUAUCCUCACCACCCAUACAGCUCUCAAUAAGUGGCCAAGAAAACUUACUGCUCCAAAAAGACAGUCACCUCAGUUCCUUUUUCCAGGGCUUUAAACAUUUUUUACCCUCAAAGGGCCAGGAUUUCUAGCUAAGUCUUUUAGUAGAAUUAAAUAGAAGUCUUUCUUUCUUUCUUUCUUUCUUUCUUUCUUUCUUUCUCUUUCUUUUUUUGAGAAUUGAAGAAUUUUACUGCAGUUACCAAUACAAAAAAAUAAAAUAGUGUUGUGCUUAUCAGCUUGAGUAAACACCCAAAUCAUUAGUUGAACAGAUUAAUCCAUACAUAAAAGAAUCCAUAGCAUGUGAGUCCAGUUGUACUAAAUGCCCUUUAUAAUGCUAAAUAGAAGUCUUAAGUUUAACCUUUUUGUAUAUGACUUGUUUCUGUUUUGAAGCAGCGUUGUAGUAGAUACAGUGUACCAGAAUGCAUCUCUAAGGUAUUUGACUGACAUACUCAGCUGAAGUUUUGCAUGUAUCAUUGCUUUUCCCACAGUUCUGAAUCAAAGGGUUUGCAUGUUUAUUAAAACCAGGCCUGGUUGAAAGUGUAAGCAAUACUAGCAGGCCCAUAACUGAUUAUAGAAUGCUGAAAUUCUAAUGCAUGGUUGAAAUUUCUCAUUAUUAGGUAGUUACUAGUAAUUUUCUAUAUGCAUUUAUUAAUAAUGAAGCAAUAGAUACUUAAACCAAUAGCUUGAUUUUAUUGUUUGAAUUAUUUUUAUUUUCUAAUUAAAGAUUGUCUUACUUCCACUGAAAAAUGGGAAGUACAAGAUAAACAAGGGGCAACCACAAGACAUUCAUACUGUUAGGAAUACAGCAAGCAGUGCUCACUCUGUUUCCUAGCUCUAUUUAUUCCCAAGCAUGUUUGCAAAUAAAAGACAAACUAAGCAUGUUGAAUAAGCUGCUAUAAUCUGGACGGUGCAGGGUUUCAGAAUUGAGAAAUAACCUAUAUAGGGUCAGUCAUCUUAAUUCAGAAAUAAGUGUUCAGUUUUCUAAACAACUAGCUGUGAGGUUUGUUUCAUUAGUUUUAUGUAGAGUAAGUUUGGGGUUUCUUAAAAUAGAUUAAGCCGGAUGCAUGCUCUGCAGUCUCUGAACAGACAGAAGCCAGCCUGUGUGCCACAGCUAGACUCCUUCACAGAAAACACAUGAGUAUCUUGGAGGUGUGUAGCAUCAGUGUGCACUUACUUCCGUAGGUGCUGAUACUAUCUGUAAGUAGCCCAGCACUAAGAGUCUCUGCAGAGUCGAAGAAGUUCUGCCAUUGCUGUUGUAUUUACAGUAGUUGAGCUAGAGUUUUACUUUAAAUGAGUUGGUCUAAAGUAUGGAUCUUGCCUAAAACUUUUGAUUCCUGAUGAACAGGAAAAGUUUGUCUUCUUCCAAAAAACAAAACAUUUAUUUGGGUGAACAAACAUUGGUGAAAGGAGCAGAAGUGUAAUACAGUGGCAGAGCCACCUGAGAAAAUAGGUUCAGUUGCCAGCACUACCAAAAAUAGCCAUAUUUGGCAGCAUAAGAAUUUCUUAGAUUUCUUGACUUGGAAAUGAUCAAAUAACAAAUAGUUUUGGCAAUUAAUGAGAAGUAUUUAUAAUGUAUGAAAGACCUAAAUAGAAUUCAGUUCAAAUAAAACUUUCACUGGGUUUAAUUCAAUUUACAUGUCAUAUGAUGGAAAAAUAGUUUGAAAUUUAACUUUUUGGGGGGUGGUGGUUUGAGGCAGGGUUUCUCUGUGGCUUUGGAGGCUGUCCUGGAACUAGCUCUUGUAGACCAAGCUGAUCUCGAACUCAGGAGAUCCGCCUGCCUCUGCCUCCUGAGUGCUGGGACUAACGGCAUGCCCCACCAUUGCCUGGCGAAAUUUAACUUUUGUUGUGGUGCUUUGCUGUGGAUGUGACCUAGAAUGGUAACUUCCAUCUUUGAGAACUGAAUUCAUAGUUGUCAGUGUGGUGUUUGCUUCCCACUGAAGUACAGGAAUUGGGGUGUGUGGUUUGUCCCAAAUAGAAAUGUUCUUUGCCACUUCCUGAUAUUCUGCCAGCCAAUAAAGAUGAAUGGUUAAGUUCUUUCCUCUAACAAACACUUAGUCCUCUAACUCUGAUAGUCUACUAAAGUCAGUUAAAACAGAUUAUACAUGAAAAUUAAGUGUAUAUUUGGUAGAGCUCAGACUUUAAAUACCUUUAAAGUCAGAAUAUAAUUAUGAUUACUGAAGAUUUUCAAAACAUUUUGACACCUUUGGUAAUGGUGUGCUGUGUUUGAGUUUGUGUGAGUUUGUGUUUUUGUUUUUCUGCUUGGGACACAGCUCUUAGAGAGCACUUAGGCCCUGGGAUCAGACAGGUGUUCUGUCAUCGUGUUACCAGUCUUUAAACAUUUCUGUCUGGGCAUUAACCUUACACCCACCUAUCCCUAUAAUGAGAAGGGUUAAGAAUAUCCAAGUAAUCUACCUGAGAGUGGUGUGGCUGGCUUGCCUUCAAGCACAGGUGUUGCUGUUUGCUUGCUCUUCCAUGUACCUUGCAUCAAACCGUCGGUGUAUGAGGUUAUGUUACAAGAGCUGCACUGAAUGUUUGAAGCACUACAAAAGGCAGCUUCCUAAUCUAUGCAUCUUUGGGAGUUUUGAAGAAAUUUGACUCUUUGGAAAAGGAACUAUUGUGAGAGUUUGAAACUGCACCUGUAUGUAUAUGUUUUAGCAAUAAAGCAUGAGCUGAGAAUGCACUGACA